UGCAUUGAGAUGCAUCAGCUGCA
rnacentral:siRNA from 1 species